CCUACGGGUGGCAGCAGUGGGGAAUAUUGCACAAUGGGCGCAAGCCUGAUGCAGCCAUGCCGCGUGUGUGAAGAAGGCCUUCGGGUUGUGAAGCACUUUCAGCGGGGAGGAAGGCGUUAAGGUUAAUAACCUUGGCGAUUGACGUUACCCGCAGAAGAAGCACCGGCUAACUCCGUGCCAGCAGCCGCGGUAAUACGGAGGGUGCAAGCGUUAAUCGGAAUUACUGAGCGUAAAGCGCACGCAGGCGGUCUGUCAAGUCGGAUGUGAAAUCCCCGGGCUCAACCUGGGAACUGCAUUCGAAACUGGCAGGCUAGAGUCUUGUAGAGGGGGGUAGAAUUCCAGGUGUAGCGGUGAAAUGCGUAGAGGUCUGGAGGAAUACCGGUGGCGAAGGCGGCCCCCUGGACAAAGACUGACGCUCAGGUGCGAAAGCGUGGGGAGCAAACCGGAUUAGAUACCCGAGUAGUC
rnacentral:rRNA from 1 species